rnacentral:rRNA from 1 species
UGCCAGCAGCCGCGGUAAUACGGAGGGUGCUAGCGUUGUUCGGAAUUACUGGGCGUAAAGGGCACGUAGGCGGCCCAUCUAGUCAGGCGUGAAAGCCCCGGGCUCAACCUGGGAAUUGCGCUUGAUACUGGUGGGCUAGAGUCCGGGAGAGGAUAGUGGAAUUCCAAGUGUAGAGGUGAAAUUCGUAGAUAUUUGGAAGAACACCAGUGGCGAAGGCGGCUAUCUGGACCGGUACUGACGCUGAGGUGCGAAAGCGUGGGGAGCAAACAGGAUUAGAUA